rnacentral:piRNA from 1 species
UGAUGGAAAGAGCAGAUAGACCCUGCAAGUU